rnacentral:lncRNA from 1 species
GCUUCUUCUACUUGAUUUUGCAGAAAAAGAUAUAAAUCCUGCAUUUAUGACAUCACAGUUUGUUGCCAUGGAAUUUACUAUGCUAUUGCAAACACCCUGUUGUGAUUACAUGACAGCUUCCAAUCAGAGGAUAAAAUCUUUCCCAGUGAGAAAACACAUCUUGAAGUUAAGAAAAUAUGAAUGGGAGAAAUAAAUCAGUCUUUUUAAGUGCUGAGCACCAGCCUGAUACUAUACAGACAUGGAAUGAGACAUUUUUAACUUCACAGAGCUCACAAGUUGAUGUAGACAGACACAUUACAGGGGAGGCUUGCAGUAUGCCUGGCAGGAAUAUAGACUUGAAGCAGUUAUGAGACUGACUGUUGUUACAGUUGCAUUGCAGGAAGGAGCCAGUGAAAUAAUAAAAAGAGAGAGUUUGGAGAGCCACUGGUUAGAGAUGCUCUGUGUGCUUCAGAAGCAAGAAGAGCUAAGAAAAAAAGAGGAUGUGUUUGUAUAUGCAAAGGCAAGGUUGCUCCAUCAGCGUGAGCAAGCAACUGGGGCAUGGAUUGCAUUUCCAGGGAGACGAAGAGGGUGGCAAAGCAGUCAGAGGAGGCUGGGAAGGGCAAAUGCAUGAAGGGAGAGUCAGUGGAUAUUAGGGCAGAGGUGGAACCGCAGCUGUGCUGUGCAGACUUUGAAGGGCUGACUGCAUCCUGGCACAGGGAAGGUAGUGAGGAAUUCAAAAGUGUGGUUUACAUGAGCAAAGCCCACAGAAACACAAGAGAUCUCCUUGAGAAUCCUGAUCCCAACAGACUUCCAGCCUUUUUCUCAGAGAGUAGAGCACAGAGUCACGCCAGCCAAAACCUGCUGGAUUUGUCUGAUGUGAAACUGAACCACUGAGAAACCUCUGAGCUUUGCAGUCACAAGCUGGAAGAAAAUCUGGGAGAAGUGCUGUGUACAGUUCUGUGCAGGCUGGUGUUCACUGGCCUUCUGUCUUUACUGCACUAUUGGAGUCCUGCAUCACACAGUCACCAAGAGCUUUUCUUACCUCGAGCACACAGAGCACAACGGAAUUUGCAAACUUUUCUUA